GGAGACGAUCUCCAGAGGGCCCUUCCCACCCCGACGUUCGGUGAUUCUGUGAUUCACGUAAGUGAGCAGCUGGCAGCAGUGAGUUUGGGCACGUGGUGCAUUUUAGUGUCAAUGUGCCAGCCGUCGUGUGCGUGUCUGUGUGCACCGUCUGGCUGUUGUGCACACCCCCCAGGCGUGAGCGGGUGUGUGCGGCGGGGCCGUGGACCAGUGCGUGUCUGUCCCUCUUGUCAACGUCCGUGUGCGAAACCCGCAGCGCUGAGGCUGUUUGUGCCGCAGGUCAAGGCACAGACACAGUGACAUUUCCUCUCCCUGCUGGCUCGCUCAUGUUGCUAUGGUGAUCAGAUGCACUCGCACUUUUAUCUGGAGUAUCUAUUAACUAAAGCUUCCUAUUAAUUCCCCCCUGUAGAACGCAUAUGGAAUUCACCGGAACACCAGGUAGGCUUUUUCGGUCGCAAAUUUACAUCAGAGCCUGCCCCCCGUUCUUGGGUGGGCUGUCGGAAACAUCACGGGGUAGAAGUGCAGCUGAUGAAAAUGUGGUUUUUUUCCAUGAAUAAAGAAAUUGCUUAGUAAUGAGAGAAUAAAGAGCACAAGGAGUAGUGUCACAACAGCCUCCCGCUGUAGAUCCGUGAAUAUGAAACAUACUCGAGCCUCGGUACCUUGCUCCCGACCCAGCUGUAAAAGGAUUAUUCGGUCUGGAAGGCAAAGACGGCUGGACGUGGGGCAGAUGGGCUGGACCUGCAUCAGCAUCAAAGGUCUGGGCCAAGAUUUUCACCGUCUGAGGGGCAGAAUCCAGAGGGACUCUGGUUUGUCCUGAUCCAAUUCCUUUGUCACAUCGGUUCUGAGUCCUUUGGCUUCUCUUACUGAGGGUGCCACCAAAAGAAUUAGUGUCCCAAACCUGGGCACCAGGGUGAUGGAGACAUCACCCAAAGGCAGAGGCUCUCCCAACCCACAGCAGAGGCGCAGCUCCUCCUUCCCUUGACACGGCAACCGGAAUAAAUGAUCUGCCAGUGUCUAACAGCCCAUCUAAAAGCGUGGCUGAGGGAUGCAUCGCUGCGGUGGGCAGCUGUACAGGGGCUGCUCCCUGGGUCCUCUGCUCAUCAGAGAAGCUGCCAGGAGACCGUCCUGCGCAAGCGAUGGCUGCGAGUAACGCCGGGUGGGCCUGAACACCUGUGACAGGAAUGACGGGCUCAAAACUAUCACGUCCCUCGUCUGCAGAGUAUGUCCUCCACGAGGCCCUGGAGACUCCUGCGGGGGUUUUGUAGGGUACUGCGGAUAAAGCCCCAGCCAGUAUUCUGAGAACAUAGAGGGACAUUAAAUACCCACCAGAGGAAGAGAAGAUAAAAAAUGAGACGUUUUGACAGGGCUGCCAGAUUGUGUGGCAGGAGGGUUAAUUUUUUUUGAAACUGCCAUUUCAUAUUCCCUUUCAGACAAGCUGAAUUACACAGUACUGGCUGCUGGAGGAGUUGCAUAAUUUUCUUCACAGAAAUAAUGACAGGGUACUUAAAAAGCAAGUGAAUGGAGGGCUAAAGUAUUGGGCAAAGACUCAAGAAAUCUAGGCUGAGACCCCACCUUUGCUAGAGACUCCUUUUGUGACCUUGGGCUGGUCAUUUAAUCUCCCUGUGUCUUAUUUCCCUGCCAAUAACAUGGCAAUAAUAGCUGUUCUUUGUCUGUCUUGCUUAUUUAGACUACAAACUCGGAAUUUAUGGGUUGUGUCUUCAGUUCUUACAGGGCAAUCACAGCCAAAGAGCAUCAAUUCAUGCUAAGGUGUCUGAGACAACUAUAAUAUACAAACCAGAUUACAAUAAAAGGGCUUGGAUAUAUAGUUUGGAACAUUUUUAGCAUGAAAGGCUCAAAAGUUCCUAAUCCACUGUUCCACAUCUCUUCCCUCAAAAUGUGGAGAAGUUUGGAUCUGUGCUAAGAGUUCCAAAAGCACAUAAAUAAUUUAAGAACUAAGUCCAUGCUGAUUUACUAAAUCCCCAAGUUACUUCUGAAACUGUGAGUGGAUAAUUUAGAUGCCUGCAAAAUUUUCUGCAAGGUCUUUGUGCUCAUCUGUCACUGCAUUAAGGGUUAUCAGCAGACGGAGCUGAGAGCCUCAUUUUUUCCAAGUCUAAAUUCCAGUUUGCAGGCAGCUGUGUACCAAGUUUUUAUCAUUCUCUUGGCUUUUAGGGGUUUGUCCAAUUUCCAGAAGUCAGAAGAAGAUGUCUCCUUGCUACUAGGUCCAGUGAAGACAAGAUCUUCUAUAUAGGUAAGCAACUACAUGAGAAAUUUGCUGUACAAAGGGAACAAUUCUAUAAAUAGCGAGAAAUGGCACUGUGACAUUAGCAGGAACAAUGACCCAAUACCCGACUUGCUGCAGGGGCUUUUUGUCCUAUAACUACCUUCAUCAUUAAGGCUUGUGAUGACAUUAUUUUCUGUGCUUAUAUAGGGCAUGAGGCCACAGCUACCUGGAAGGAAAGAUUUUGAUCAGGCCGCAGAAGAUGAACAGGCAGGAGAGGCGUGUUGGCUAACACUAAAUCAAUGUAGUUUCAUUUACAUUAGACACCAACCUGGCAAUUUGAACAUUAAUGGUUGCACCGCUGCCCUCUGAAUUUUUGUAGAUUUAAUACGUCAGUGGGGGAGCAAAAGAGAGGGGGAGUGAGAGUCGUUCUUCCUUAUGAGACAGGGAUCUUUUCUUUCCUGCAUCAUCAAAGGACAGUGAUUUGUACAGCUGUUAAAUUCUUUUGGCGAUAGAUUUCCCGGGAUAAGCCCUGCGCUGCUCCUGCCUCACGGGUUAUCUAAGAUGAUAACUGCAAUAGUAUCUUUGGAUCCCUCCCUUUCCCAAACAGACAGCACGAAGGACUGGCUCCGAGGCAAAUGGCAAGGUAGCAGGAGCAUCGGAUUUGGACCUAAGCCUUGGGCUUGGUUUGCUUUUGUGGACCCACCAGUUGCCUUUGUGUGUUUUGGCAAGUUACCAGCUCCAUCCCCUGCCACAGCUCUCCCGUGUAACACGCCGCUGCCUCGUAGGAGUUGCGGUGAGAUAAAGGGCUGAGAUACAGAAGUGACGAGGGACAUACAGACCUCUAGACAGACGGAGAACUAAGUUAGCCAUCUUCCCGACAGGCAGGAAUCACUGCUCCCCUUCACAGAGGCCCCAGACGAGGCCGAGACUGGCGUGAGACGUUCCAACAGGUCAAUAGACCCGUCAGAAAUAGAACCUGGGAGUCCUGAUUGCUGUUCAAUACCAGCUGCAAACGAAGUACGAGGACCCACUAAGAACCUGGAUGUUAUUGACUGGCUUCAAGGACUGUAAAGUAUGUUUGUAAACUACAGAGCACGGAGAUUUGGAGGUCAUUGGACUGUCUUCGUCUUGUAGACGUGUGCUGCCCUGUGCUCUGGUGCUCUGCGGCACCAGCUCUACCCAUAAUUGUCCAGGUUCAGCUUUGCUCCCCCUACCCAGCUGAUUUUUCUGUUAGUACCUUGCGUACGGCAUGAAUAAGGCGUGAGAGGACAAUGCUGGCUCACAUCCAUGGAAAGGAUCCUUCUUUCUUCCUUCCGACCGCCGCCGUCCGAGUGAGGGUGACUUACCUCAGCCGCUGAAAUCAGACAGGGGACGGCAUCCUUCCCGUCUUCCAACUAAGGCUGUUAAAUGUACUUUUGUGAGCAGCUGUCAAAAAAAAAAAAAAAAAAAAAAAAGGAAAGAAACAAAAGUAUCCUUCAACAGCCUGGGCUCUGCAGAGCUGCUGUGGUGAAAGGCUCCUUUCACAGAAGGAGAAAGAGUGUUCGAAAGGCGAAAGGCGAGGGUUUGCUGCUGCUGACAGAGGUUGUGCCCCACGCGAGCCCAGGGAGACCCGUCCUCUCCCUCCCUCCCUCCCCUCUCCCUUUUUUUGUAACAUAUGUGCUUUCUGCGGGCACUUUAAUCAAACUCCAGAUGGGCCGUUUCAAUGUGGGGAUUUGUGCUGCUCGGGAGAUAACGGCGCGUUGUGCUGGCCCAGGUAGCGAGCGUGUUUGCGAUAGCUGGAGCUGAUAGCAGGAGAUGUCCAGGUGGUCUUAUUUAACAGGGGGUAUUAGUGAUACUGCCAUUGUCCAGGAAAUCAGAUAAAACGGCAGCCCAGGUGUUACCCUACACCGUGUUUGUGUAAUGACAUUGCCAGCUGCCGAUUGCUACCCCAUUAAAAUAGAGACCAAACGCUGCAGAGGGGUGAUAUUUUCUCCUACAAGGUUGCCAUCAUGCCCAGACUUCCCGGGGUGCACCGCUUAAAGUGCAAAAUGUAAUCUGAAGGGUAACAGCAGUGAGCACGCACCCCUCGCUCACACUGAAACAGCUUUUCUUUGAUACCUGGGCUUGGAUGUCUGAAACUGAGUCAUUUCCUCUAAAGCGUCACGUAUUUUCCUCUCUGCCCCGCCUCAGAGCGUUCUCAAAUGAAACACUUCAUAGGGGCGAGUCAAUUUUUAGAAAUAAGCUGCCCAGGACAAUUCAGUAUUGUGCCAGGGAUAAUUAGAAGAGAGAACGAAUUGUAAAGAUGGAUGAACUUGAGAGAGAGAAGAUAGUUUGGGAAGGGCUGACCUGGACUGUAAUUUCAGGUGACAAGAACAAUUUACAUUCCUCGUUCUGGAACGACAGUGCCCAGCUGAGUGGUACAUCAGGUCCAGGAAGGGAUUUGCCACAAAUUAUCGCUAGACAGUCACAUAAUAAUCAAGACAGAGGAAUGAAGUGCUCAGCUUGAGCAAGGGGUGAGGUUCCCCGCUGUUUUCACAAACGUGCAUUCCCUUUUUGGAGCAAGGUAUUUAGUAGAAAACAUAAAUUCCAGGCUCAGAGGUGUGCGAGACUUUUGUCUAGACUUCAUAUAGCCUGGUCUGUCUCCGUAGGGCCAUAUUUCUCAAUGUGGUAUUUUUCAGGAUGGGAUCUGCCACUUCCAGUUUGUCCCAGAGAUUUCAACGGUGUGGAAGCUUAUGGCUCCUUGUACCGGUGGCAGAUGAACCCCGUGGCGCUGAGAGGCCGCUGUUGUUCCUUCGUAAUUGUUUAUAUAGAUAGGAUCUAAACUUAGCUACGGAACAUGGUGAAAAAAAGCCUGGUUAGAAAGAGCGGGGACUCAAGAGCUCAGCCUCCGGCUAUCUGAGAAGAGGAUGGCUCAUCACAGAGAGAUCCCCAGCUGCACUUCCAGGCUGUAAAUUAAACAAACAGUAUUUCCUAUAUACCAGACCACAGGGAUGGCAGAAAGAACAGUGUGGCCUUAUUGCUGUUAUUUCCUUUGGUUUCAGCCUCUGUCCUCUGUCCCCCACCUCCGUCUCAGGCUGGUGUUGCCCACUUUACCCGAUUUGUUAUUUAUUACAAUGGUUUAAAGAGAGGCAGGGGGAAAAAUGCUCAGUGCAAAUUAUAUUUUGAGCUGUUGUGCUUUGCCUCUUUGGUGGAUAAUAAAUCUCUCUGGCAAUGCU